rnacentral:rRNA from 1 species
GACGAACGCUGGCGGCGUGCUUAACACAUGCAAGUCGAACGGAAAGGCCCUGCUUUUGUGGGGUGCUCGAGUGGCGAACGGGUGAGUAACACGUGAGUAACCUGCCCUUGACUUUGGGAUAACUUCAGGAAACUGGGGCUAAUACCGGAUAGGAGCUCCUGCUGCAUGGUGGGGGUUGGAAAGUUUCGGCGGUUGGGGAUGGACUCGCGGCUUAUCAGCUUGUUGGUGGGGUAGUGGCUUACCAAGGCUUUGACGGGUAGCCGGCCUGAGAGGGUGACCGGCCACAUUGGGACUGAGAUACGGCCCAGAAUCCUACGGGAGGCAGCAGUGGGGAAUAUUGCACAAUGGGCGGAAGCCUGAUGCAGCAACGCCGCGGGCGGGAUGACGGCCUUCGGGUUGUAAACCGCUUUCGCCUGUGACGAAGAGUGAGUGACGGUAAUGGGUAAAGAAGCACCGGCUAACUACGUG